rnacentral:rRNA from 1 species
UACGACGGGAGCUAGCGUUGUUCGGAAUUACUGGGCGUAAAGGGCGCGUAGGUGGUUAUGAAAGCAAGAUGUGAAAUCUCUGGGCUUAACCUAGGAAUGGCAUUUUGGACUAUGUAACUGGGUGUGCGAGAGGGGAAAGUGGAAUGGCGAGUGGAGCAGUGAAAUGCGUUGAUAUUCGUUGGAACACCGGAGGCGAAGGCGGCUUUCUGGCUCGACACAGACGCUAAGGCGCGAAAGCGUGGGGAGCAAACAGG